UACGUAGGGGGCAAGCGUUGUCCGGAUUUAUUGGGCGUAAAGCGCGUGUAGGCGGCCAGGUAGGUCCGUUGUGAAAACUCGAGGCUCAACCUCGAAACGCCACCCGAUACUGCUGUGGCUAGAGUCCGGUAGGGGAGCGUGGAAUUCCUGGUGUAGCGGUGAAAUGCGCAGAUAUCAGGAGGAACACCAGCGGCGAAGGCGGCGCUCUGGGCCGGUACUGACGCUGAGGAGCGAAAGCGUGGGGAUCAAACAGG
rnacentral:rRNA from 1 species